rnacentral:rRNA from 1 species
AAAGCGUGCGCAGGCGGUUAUAUAAGACAGAUGUGAAAUCCCCGGGCUCAACCUGGGAACUGCAUUUGUGACUGUAUAGCUAGAGUACGGCAGAGGGGGAUGGAAUUCCGCGUGUAGCAGUGAAAUGCGUAGAUAUGCGGAGGAACACCGAUGGCGAAGGCAAUCCCCUGGGCCUGUACUGACGCUCAUGCACGAAAGCGUGGGGAGCAAACAGGAUUAGAUACCCUUGU